rnacentral:lncRNA from 1 species
CAAGAAGCCAGAGAGCAGCCAUCCAAGUCAUUCCCCCACCAGUUGAGGCUGAUGUCUUCCAAUCCCAAGCACAGGUACAGCAGCACGGCCAUGAAGGCGAGGCCAGCAUCCAAAGCCCCCGAGAGCACGUAGUUGUGCCGCGUCCACCAGUCGCGCCGGUAGCGGUAGACCACGUAGCCCGAGAAGAAGCCGACGAUGAUCCAUGUGGUGUAGUUUACAGCCGUCGCCGGCGGCAUCAUGCCGGUGGCGCCGAUCAAGACGGGCAUGUUGAUGAGACGGAUCCAGUCCUGGCCUGGGAAGGCCUUGUGUGCCAGCCAGACGAGCAGCGGCGCCACAGCGCCGACCAGGAAGAACCAGUUGAUGGCUGAGUAGGUGCCGAGGUCGCCGAAGAUCCUGCGAGGGCCGAUGAGACCCCAUAUGACGGACGCGUCGUAGAACAC